CCCAGGCGCCCUCCCUAUUUUUUUUUAAACCAGAAUAGUUUAAGACUAUAUUACCAAGGACGCCUGGGUUUCAAGUACAGAAAACUCAAAAUAGUUCAAACCAUAGGGAUAAUAUGCUUACCCAAGUAGCCAAAAGAACCCAAAGCAAGGCAUGCAUCCUGUUUAUCCUGGCACUUCUGGAUGCCUUCAACGGCAAGUAAAAGAAAACCCCAACUCAGAUUGUCAUAAACACUGGAAAGAAUAAAUCUACAGGUGUCCGCAUGCCGCCACCGGCUUGGGUUCCGCAGACUGGCCACCUUCUGCCCGCCUGAGACACCAGCUGCCUGCGCCAGGACCCUCCUCACCCACCUAUUUCAAUCAACACCCCUUAAGCCUUUCAAGCACGACUGCGAGUGGACAAAAAGUAUCACUUGCCAUGAAUGGAAGUUUGCCGUGACCUGAAGGAUGCACAGACUCCAAAAGGAAAGCGUGGCCUCUCCAGUGGAUCGAGUUCCAGCCCCACCCCCUCCCCACCGCCACCGAUCCACAGUGGAC